rnacentral:rRNA from 1 species
CGCGCAGGCGGUUUGGUAAGUCAGAUGUGAAAGCCCGGGGCUUAACCCCGGAAGUGCAUAUGAUACUGCCAAACUUGAGUAUGGGAGAGGGAAGUGGAAUUCCUGGUGUAGAGGUGAAAUUCGUAGAUAUCAGGAGGAACACCGGUGGCGAAGGCGACUUCCUGGACCAAUACUGACGCUGAGGCGCGAAGGCGUGGGGAGCAAACA